AGAGUUUGAUUCUGGCUCAGAACGAACGCUGGCGGCGUGGAUAAGACAUGCAAGUCGAGCGAGAUUUUUUCUUGUAGCAAUACAGGGAAAAGUCUAGCGGCGAACGGGUGCUUAACACGUGGGCAACCUGCCGUGAAGUGGGGGAUAGCUCGCCGAAAGGCGAAUUAAUACCGCAUGUGAUUAGAGAGGACAUCCUUUCGAAAUUAAAGUCGGGGCAACCUGACGCUUCUUGUGGGGCCCGCGGCCUAUCAGCUAGUUGGUGAGGUAACGGCUCACCAAGGCUUUGACGGGUAGCUGGUCUGAGAGGACGACCAGCCACACUGGGACUGAGACACGGCCCAGACACCUACGGGUGGCAGUAGUCGAGAAUUUUUGACAAUGGGGGAAACCCUGAUCGGGCGACGCCGCGUGGAGGAUGAAGGUCUUCGGAUUGUAAACUCCUGUCAUUGGGGAACAAGGUGCAUACGUUAACUGCGUGUGCAUUGAUAGUACUCGAAGAGGAAGGGACGGCUAACUCUGUGCCAGCAGCCGCGGUAAUACAGAGGUCCCAAGCGUUGUUCGGAUUCAUUGGGCGUAAAGGGUGCGUAGGCGGCGCGGUAAGUCGGGUGUGAAAUCUCGGAGCUUAACUCCGAAACUGCAUUCGAUACUGCCGUGCUUGAGGACUGGAGAGGAGACUGGAAUUUACGGUGUAGCGGUGAAAUGCGUAGAUAUCGUAAGGAAGACCAGUGGCGAAGGCGGGUCUCUGGACAGUUCCUGACGCUGAGGCACGAAGGCCAGGGGAGCAAACGGGAUUAGAUACCCCGGUAGUCCUGGCAGUAAACGGUGCACGUUUGGUGUGGGAGGAUUCGACCCCUUCUGCGCCGGAGCUAACGCGUUAAACGUGCCGCCUGGGGAGUACGGUCGCAAGAUUAAAACUCAAAUGAAUUGACGGGGCUGAGCCAUAAUCAAACUCU
rnacentral:rRNA from 1 species